rnacentral:ncRNA from 1 species
AGUCUUUGCUAGGUAAGGACUAACCAUCCACCUAUAUCGAGUGUUGCGCCUUGAAUUGGUAACAAUUCAGGUGAAGUGUACACAUAAGUAGAGAACCAAAAACCUGAAUUUUGGUUUUUGUGUGAAUCACUUAGUAUGUUUCUUAGAGAACUUUUUAGGCCAGAGGGAAGACCGUAAUUCCUGAAGCAUAUUGAGCCCCGUUAGUAGCGGUGUCCUGGAAACAGGAGAAAUGCAGAUGAUGACGUAGUUAACGUUGCGGAAGUCAAUACGAAGGAAUCGUAAAAGGUGAGAUUCCGGAGGGUCUGUCGGGGUCAGAGAACC